rnacentral:lncRNA from 1 species
UGCAGGAUGUUCUGUCUGAUGCAGGAGUUCUGUUCUGAUGCACUGUGUUCUGUCUGAUGACACGUGUUCUGUCUGAUGCAGGAUGUUCUGUCUGACGCCGGGUGUUGGCUUGCACUGUGCUGUAUGCACUGUGUUCUGUCUGAUGCAGGAUGUUCUGUCUGAUGCAGGGUGUUCUGUCUGAUGCCGGAUGUUCUGUCUGAUGCAGGAUGUUCUGUCUGAUGCAGGGUGUUCUGUCUGAUGCGGUGUUCUGU